UGUGGAAGUGAUCCAGGAGCAUGCCACACACUCAGUAGGUUUGCAUCAUAGCUGAGGAAUCCCGAGCUAAGGAAGCCCUAAACUUUUAUAAUGGGCUGCAAGCAAACCUGCUGUGUGAGUCCGUUUCACACUUUGCCUGGCCUGAAAUCCACCUUGAGCACGUCGCUUGCUACCUCGGAGCGCAAUCCCCCUUAGGUGUCAGUGGAGUUCUGGGCCCACAGCAAGGCGGGGAGGUGCGGAGGAACUGGGUACAAACCAGGCCAGGCUCCCUAGACAAUAGCCCCAGCUUGGCCACUGAGUCUGUUCCUCUCCCAGGCUGGGGUCAGCCCAUCUGACUUGGGCGAAGGUCUACACAUCUCUGCUUCCUCGCUGUGAUCUCCCAGAUAACCGCCCGUGAAGAAGUCUGUGCCCUCGGCCCUAAGCUGUGAACCUGCUGCCUUCCAUGGCAAAAGGGACUGUGGAGGUGUGAGUCAGUUCAUGACCUUGACUGGGGAGGUGAUCCUGGGUUACUUAGGUGGCCCAGCGGAAUGGCAUGAACCCCAGAAGAGGAGGACAAAGGCAGAAGAGCCCGUCUGAGAGAAGUGACGGCAGAGGAGGAGGCAGGGAGGUGCCGUGUGCUCAUCAGCCAUCAUCGGCUUUGCAAGCUGGUAGGGGGCUGCCCGUAGACGCUGAGACUGGUCCCCACUGACCCCAGCAAGGUGACAACACCUCAGUCCCAUACUGCAAGGAUCUGCAUUCUGCAGACAAUGCAAAUGAGCACAGAAAAGGGAUUCUCCACUGGCCCCCAUUACGGAACUGCAGGGUUAUACAUUGUGCCGUUGUCAGCCUCUAACUUUGUAGAAGUUUGUGAUGGCAGCAAAGAAAACAAAUGGACUCUGCGAACUCCCUUUCCCUGGGGAGGAGGGGCUGGUCCUCAUCCGGUCCUGGGGUGGCCCCGGGCCCCGCUCUCCUGAAUGGAUGUGCAAGGCCAUUUCUCUGUGGUCUCUGUCUGGAACGUGGGCGCAGACGGGAGCUUGGGAAGUCCAAGCUUACUUGGCUUUGUGCCCAAACCAAGCUCUGGAUAUGAGUGCACUUGUUUAAAAAAAAAAAAAAAAAAAAAGGCAAGCACUGACCCACUUUUUCCUGACUGCUCUGGCUCAGACACUUCCCUCUAAAAGGACAUUUAUUUCAAGAACACGCUGUUCCCAGGGCUGACAUCCCCCACCUCCACUGGAAGCAGAAGCACUAACAAGAGACUGCAAGAUCUGGCGUCCGGUAUCUGAUAAUGGAGCAAAUGUUCCACCGAAAGCUGGGCCUGAUGGCUGCAUCCGCCUGGCGCUGGAGGGGCUGGGAGUUUGGCCUGAGCAAACUCAGUUGCUUAAAACAACACAAAUUUAUUUAUUUUUUUAAUUUUAUCUUUUUAAGUCCCAGGCUACAUACGCAGGCUGUGCAGGUUUGUUGCAUAGGUAAAUGUGUGUCACGGUGGUUUGCUGCACCUAUCAACCCAUCAUCUAGGUUUAAGCACAGCAUGCCUUAGCUGUUUUUUCUAAUGUUCUGCCCCCACCCCCCACCAGGACCCCAGUGUGUGUGGUUCUCCUCCCUGAGCCCACGUGUUCUCGUUGUUCAGCUCCCACUUAUAAGUGAGAACAUGCAGUGUUUAGUUUUCUGUUCCUGUGUUAGUUUGCUGAGGAUAAUGGCUUCUAGCUCCAUCCAUGUCCCUGAAAAGACAUGAUCUUGUUCCUUUUUCUUUUUUUUGAGACAGUUUCCCUCUCGUUGCCCAGGCUGGAGUGCAAUGGCCCGAUCUCAGCUCACUGCCUCCCAGGUUCAAGCGAUUCUCCUGCCUCAGUCUCCUGUGUAGCUGGGAUAACAGGCAUGCACCACCACACCCAGCUAAUUUUGUAUUUUUAGUAGAGGUGGAGUUUCACCGUGUUAAUCGGGCUGGUCCCGAACUCCUGAUCUCAGGUGAUCCACCCACCUCUGCCUCCUGAAGUGCUGGGAUUAUAGGCAUGAGCCACCACGCUUGGCCUUAUUCCUUUUUAUGGCUGCAUAUUAUUCCACAGUGUAUGAUAUGGUUUGACUCUGUGUCCCCACCCAAACCUCAUCUAGAAUUGUACUCCCAUAAUUCCCACAUGUUGUAGGAGGAAACUGGUGGGAGAGAAUUUGAAUCAUGGGUGCGGUUC
rnacentral:lncRNA from 1 species